rnacentral:lncRNA from 1 species
AAAUUUAUCACCUUUGUAGUCAUUGCAAAGUAAAAUGCUAGAAUAAUUAUAUCAUAUCAUUGAUUAAUAAUGAGCAGAAUAAUAUAAGAAGAUGUGGUAUGAGUGCCAAUAAGAAAACUCUCCAUCUAAUUCACUAUUCGUAAAAGUAAACCACCAUAGGCCAAAAUACGGUCUUCAACACGGAGCAUUGGCUCACACUGAACAACAAACUAUAAAGGCCCCCCAAAACGAUAUCCAUGUUACUACUAGUAUAUAUAUUACAAAGAAAAUUGAGUAAAUUGAGAUUAUACCUAAGAAAAAAAAUCAACC